GUCAUGCUCUUACUAGCAAGUUACAGAGUAAAGUUGUGUUUUUCAGAAUCGAUCGUUUGGCAAAACCAAAACAUACGCCUGAAAUUGGAUGCGGCAAAACUAACGGAUGCAGGGAAUAAUAUGAGUUUUAUCAUGAGUUAAUUGACAUAAAACAUGGACUAUAGCAGGAACUGGGCUUCAUCAGCUGAAUAGACAACAAGUGGAACGCCGAGCGUGAUGAUGACAGCAAACUGGGAGGCGGGGCUUGGAGAGAGUGGCCGGUGUGUCCCCUGUUCCAAGGCGUUAGGACAUAUCAAGGUGCCCCUCAAUGUUAUGCAUUUGGACUCAAGCCCUGUACAUUUUCGGGAACGGGAGAGAGAGAAGGACAUCCGUCUAUGCUGAAGCCCCACAAUGUUCUCAGUUAAAAAUAGGUCCAUUGAAAUUCACCUUAAUAUCUCAAAGCCGAUGAGUGGAUGAAUCUCUGCAUAUAAAUGUCUUCCCUAGCUCCCGAGGAAAGAGAACAGACACAAUUGGCGAGCCCAUUGCACAUUUGGAAGCAGGUUCACAUCCCAAAUUCUGCAGAUGCAUCUGAAAAAAGUGAGAUUUUCCCGCUUUUUGAAAUGAUGAUGGAUUUGUUCUGUCAACUGAAUGCUGGAGGGUAAGGUGACUGAACACAGCCCCCUGUCCGUACCCACGUCUGUCCAUCAGCUCACUGAUUUCCCAGAGACGGGGGGGAAAUGUGAGUCAGUGAGGGUGUCCGUACCUGCUGAACUCGACUCAAAACCUUUCCGCCCAGGUCCGACCGUUUCCGCAUGGCGGUGUGUGGGAGCUGUAA